UUAUUUGGAACACCUUUCUAAAAAAAUUUAUAAAACUCUUGAACCAUGUAUUAAAUAGAUGAUAUUUUCCAAUAUGUAAAUUUUAUUAAGAUUAUUCGACAAAUUUUUCAUGAAAAAUAGCUCAAACACGUUCAUUUUAAGAUUUCUGUAGUGAUCACUCAUCCGAAUAUUUCCAAGCCCUGAUCAAUCUUAGAAGGACGUUGCUCCGUCAAGACACGAGGAGAAAAUUGAGGUAUUGUUGUCAAUUCAAUGCAUAAUAAGUGCGAAAAACUUGACACAGCUCUGGACCUUUUUAACUAAAUAUAAGUGCGGCUGUACGUGGCACAGCUCUUUCGAUAUCGGUUUUUCGCAACCACGAUUGGUGUCCUUCAGGGAACCUUUGUCCUUGAUGGCUGUUCUUCAAGGUGCAGGGUGCCCUUCGGCUAUUGAUUUGAAGCAGACCAAACGGCAAUUUGGUUGGACAGCCCAAAACUCAAGUGGUUUUCAAACCUAUCCAACAAACAUUAGCAGGCUUGUUUGUGCCCCAAGGAAGCACAGGAUCAUGUCCUCCAUAAAUUGCACGGCAUCAAUCUCACCUGUAACCCCUGCAACAGAUGCGAAGCCACUGAUUGGCGAUUCAUUUAUCCGUCCUCACUUGAGGGGACUGACUCCUUAUCAACCUAUUUUGCCAUUUGAGGUCUUGUCAGCAAGGCUUGGAAGAAAACCUCAAGAUAUAGUCAAACUUGAUGCAAAUGAAAAUCCUUAUGGCCCCCCACCAGAGGUGAUGGAAGCUUUGGGAAAAAUGGAAUUUCCUUACAUAUACCCUGAUCCAGAGAGUCGGCGUUUACGAGCAGCACUUGCUGAUGAUUCAGGUCUUGAUGCAGCUUAUUUGCUUGCUGGAUGUGGAGCAGAUGAACUUAUUGAUCUUAUCAUGCGAUGUGUACUGGAUCCUGGUGACAAGAUAGUGGAUUGCCCACCUACAUUCACCAUGUACGAGUUUGAUGCUGGUGUGAAUGGGGCUACUGUGAUAAAGGUUCCUAGACUACCUGAUUUCAGCUUGGACGUUUCUGGUAUUAUUGAAGUUGUGAAGAAAGAGAAUCCAAAGUGCAUCUUUUUAACUUCUCCAAACAAUCCAGAUGGCAGCAUUAUUAAUGAUGAUGACCUUCUGGAAAUUCUUCGUCUACCUAUCUUAGUUGUGCUGGAUGAAGCAUACAUUGAAUUUUCAGGGAAAGAAUCCAGGAUGGCCUGGGUAAAGAAGCAUGAAAAUUUGAUCGUUUUACGGACAUUCAGCAAAAGAGCAGGUUUAGCAGGCCUUCGAGUUGGAUAUGGAGCUUUUCCAUUGAGCAUUGUGGGAUAUUUCUGGAGAGCAAAGCAACCAUACAAUGUUUCUGUUGCAGCAGAAGUUGCUGCAUGUGCAGCACUUAAAAAUCCCACUUAUUUACAGAAGGUGAAAGAUGCACUGUUGGCUGAAAAGGAGAGACUAUAUUCGCUCCUGCAAGAAGUACCGUACUUGAAUCCCUAUCCAAGCUAUUCAAAUUUUAUUCUUUGUGCAGUAACCCAAGGAAGGGAUGCCAAAAAAAUUAAGGAGGACCUUUCUCAAAUGGGAGUGAUGAUACGCCAUUACAAUAACAAAGAAUUGAAAGGUUAUAUUCGUAUCUCAGUUGGAAAGCCAGAACAUACAAAUGCUCUAAUGAACGCUCUGAGACUUGUUUCAUGACUAAAGUCAAAUUCUUAUGGCAGAGCAAGUUUUAAUGUCAAUUAUUUGAGAGGAUUGGCCAAGGGAAGUUCUAUUGGAAGUGUUUUCAUGAUUUACCACCUACAUAUAUGUGAAAAUUCUCUUCAACGAGAGCACCCCUUUUCAUUUGCCUGAGACUGUGAGCAAGUAACAGUAUAUUGGAAAGGAUCUAUUGGUUGAGCUACCAUCAUACAUGGAGGUGACUAGGAUUACAUGCAUUUUAAUUUGAUGAAAGUAUGUGCCUCAUUUGGUGGACCAUAUUGGAGGCUUAUUUGAUGGCUUUUUGUCAUAAGUUGCAGGUUUUAAUUGUAUGAUGGCCUAUGACAAGUUUUGACAAUUUUGAUGUGUGAUGGGUUAUGAAAGGUGGGCACUUUGCAAUGGAGGUGCCUAUGCAUGCAUGUAGGCACAUUGCUUGUUGAAGGGGUCCUAUGCUUGAGGAGGUAGGCGUUGGAAUUAGAAAAAGAAAAAGAAAAAGAGUUGGGUUUUGCAUAUGAUAGUGCAUUUCAUGCAAGGUGGUUACAUGCAUCCAAGUGCAGAGACUCAAUAUAUGAAUACAAACAUUGGAACAUGUGCCGGGUGGCAAUCUUAGCAUCCAUCUUCUAUUCAUGGAGUUUUAUAUAUUUGGCACUUCAACAUCUUGUAUGUAGAAUAGGUUAAAGAUUUCUAGAGAUAUUAAUAUGUUGUUGGAGUUACCUCAGAUUCUUGUUGAUUGAAGAUUCUUGUAGGUGAGCUUAGCUUUGGAGAUUGUAUUGAAACCAUGUUUUGAUUUUUGAUAAUGCAAAUGGUUAUGCU